UACGAAGGGGGCUAGCGUUGCUCGGAAUGACUGGGCGUAAAGGGCGCGUAGGCGGCUUGUAGAGUCGGAUGUGAAAUUCCUGGGCUUAACCUGGGGGCUGCAUUCGAUACCUACGGGCUUGAGUGCGGAAGAGGGUCGUGGAAUUCCCAGUGUAGAGGUGAAAUUCGUAGAUAUUCGCAAGAACACCAGUGGCGAAGGCGGCUUACUGGUCCGGUUCUGACGCUGAGGCGCGAAAGCGUGGGGAGCAAACAGG
rnacentral:rRNA from 1 species